rnacentral:rRNA from 1 species
AGGGCGAGGAUGUCGACUUGGAGGUUGUGCCCUUGAGGCGUGGCUUCCGGAGCUAACGCGUUAAGUCGACCGCCUGGGGAGUACGGCCGCAAGGUUAAAACUCAAAUGAAUUGACGGGGGCCCGCACAAGCGGUGGAGCAUGUGGUUUAAUUCGAUGCAACGCGAAGAACCUUACCUGGUCUUGACAUCCACGGAAGUUUUCAGAGAUGAAAAGGUGCCUUCGGGAACCGUGAGACAGGUGCUGCAUGGCUGUCGUCAGCUCGUGUUGUGAAAUGUUGGGUUAAGUCCCGCAACGAGCGCAACCCUUAUCCUUUGUUGCCAGCGGUCCGGCCGGGAACUCAAAGGAGACUGCCAGUGAUAAACUGGAGGAAGGUGGGGAUGACGUCAAGUCAUCAUGGCCCUUACGACCAGGGCUACACACGUGCUACAAUGGCGCAUACAAAGAGAAGCGACCUCGCGAGAGCAAGCGGACCUCAUAAAGUGCGUCGUAGUCCGGAUUGGAGUCUGCAACUCGACUCCAUGAAGUCGGAAUCGCUAGUAAUCGUGGAUCAGAAUGCCACGGUGAAUACGUUCCCGGGCCUUGUACACACCGCCCGUCACACCAUGGGAGUGGGUUGCAAAAGAAGUAGGUAGCUUAACCUUCGGGAGGGCGCUUACCACUUUGUGAUUCAUGACUGGGGUGAAGUCGUAAAGGGAAACC